rnacentral:rRNA from 1 species
GACGAACGCUGGCGGCGUGCUUAACACAUGCAAGUCGAACGAUGAAGCUGGAGCUUGCUCCGGUGGAUUAGUGGCGAACGGGUGAGUAACACGUGAGAAAUCUGCCCUUGACUCUGGGAUAACUGCGGGAAACUGUAGCUAAUACCGGAUAUUUUCCUUGGUGGGCAUCCACUGGUGAAGAAAGAAUUUCGGUCAAGGAUGAUCUCGCGGCCUAUCAGCUAGUUGGUGAGGUAAUGGCUCACCAAGGCGACGACGGGUAGCCGGCCUGAGAGGGUGGCCGGCCACACUGGGACUGAGACACGGCCCAGACUCCUACGGGAGGCAGCAGUGGGGAAUAUUGCACAAUGGGCGCAAGCCUGAUGCAUCAACGCCGCGUGAGGGAUGAAGGCCUUCGGGUUGUAAACCUCUUUUAGCAGGGAAGAAGCGAAAGUGACGGUACCUGCAGAAAAAGCACCGGCUAACUACGUGCCAGCAGCCGCCGCCG